rnacentral:rRNA from 1 species
CCUACGGGAGGCAGCAGUGAGGAAUAUUGGUCAAUGGUCGGGAGACUGAACCAGCCAAGCCGCGUGAGGGAUGAAGGUACAGAGUAUCGUAAACCUCUUUUGUCAGGGAACAAAGGCGGGGACGUGUCCCCGGAUGAGUGUACCUGAAGAAAAAGCAUCGGCUAACUCCGUGCCAGCAGCCGCGGUAAUACGGAGGAUGCGAGCGUUAACCGGAUUUAUUGGGUUUAAAGGGUGCGCAGGCGGUCUGUUAAGUCAGCGGUAAAAGCCCGGGGCUCACCCCCGGCCCGCCGUUGAAACUGGCAGUCUCGAGUGGGAGAGAAGUAUGCGGAAUGCGCGGUGUAGCGGUGAAAUGCAUAGAUAUCGCGCAGAACUCCGAUUGCGAAGGCAGCAUGCCGGCUCCACACUGACGCUGAGGCACGAAAGCGUGGGUAUCGAACAGGAUUAGAUACCCGGGUAGUC